rnacentral:rRNA from 1 species
CGCGUAGGCGGCCAGCACAAGUCAGUUGUGAAAUCUCCGGGCUUAACCCGGAAAGGUCAACUGAUACUGUGCGGCUAGAGUGCGGAAGGGGCAACUGGAAUUCUCGGUGUAGCGGUGAAAUGCGUAGAUAUCGAGAGGAACACCUGCGGCGAAGGCGGGUUGCUGGGCCGACACUGACGCUGAGGCGCGAAAGCCAGGGGAGCGAACG